AGAAGUGCGAAUGCUGACAUAAGUAACGAUAAUGCGGGUGAAAAACCCGCACGCCGGAAGACCAAGGGUUCCUGUCCAACGUUAAUCGGGGCAGGGUGAGUCGACCCCUAAGGCGAGGCCGAAAGGCGUAGUCGAUGGGAAACAGGUUAAUAUUCCUGUACUUGGUGUUACUGCGAAGGGGGGACGGAGAAGGCUAUGUUAGCCGGGCGACGGUUGUCCCGGUUUAAGCAUGUAGGCGGGAAGUUUAGGUAAAUCCGGACUUCUUUUAACGCUGAGGUGUGAUGACGAGGCACUACGGUGCUGAAGUAACAAAUGCCCUGCUUCCAGGAAAAGCCUCUAAGCAUCAGGUAACACGAAAUCGUACCCCAAACCGACACAGGUGGUCAGGUAGAGAAUACCAAGGCGCUUGAGAGAACUCGGGUGAAGGAACUAGGCAAAAUGGUGCCGUAACUUCGGGAGAAGGCACGCUGAUAUGUAGGUGAAGUGAUUUACUCAUGGAGCUGAAAUCAGUCGAAGAUACCAGCUGGCUGCAACUGUUUAUUAAAAACACAGCACUGUGCAAACACGAAAGUGGACGUAUACGGUGUGACGCCUGCCCGGUGCCGGAAGGUUAAUUGAUGGGGUUAUCCGUAAGGAGAAGCUCUUGAUCGAAGCCCCGGUAAACGGCGGCCGUAACUAUAACGGUCCUAAGGUAGCGAAAUUCCUUGUCGGGUAAGUUCCGACCUGCACGAAUGGCGUAAUGAUGGCCAGGCUGUCUCCACCCGAGACUCAGUGAAAUUGAACUCGCUGUGAAGAUGCAGUGUACCCGCGGCAAGACGGAAAGACCCCGUGAACCUUUACUAUAGCUUGACACUGAACACUGGUCCUUGAUGUGUAGGAUAGGUGGGAGGCUUUGAAGUGUGGACGCCAGUCUGCAUGGAGCCAUCCUUGAAAUACCACCCUUUAAUGGCUGGUGUUCUAACGUAGACCCGUGAUCCGGGUUGCGGACAGUGUCUGGUGGGUAGUUUGACUGGGGCGGUCUCCUCCUAAAGAGUAACGGAGGAGCACGAAGGUUAGCUAAUCCUGGUCGGACAUCAGGAGGUUAGUGCAAAGGCAUAAGCUAGCUUGACUGCGAGAGUGACGGCUCGAGCAGGUGCGAAAGCAGGUCUUAGUGAUCCGGUGGUUCUGAAUGGAAGGGCCAUCGCUCAACGGAUAAAAGGUACUCCGGGGAUAACAGGCUGAUACCGCCCAAGAGUUCAUAUCGACGGCGGUGUUUGGCACCUCGAUGUCGGCUCAUCACAUCCUGGGGCUGAAGUAGGUCCCAAGGGUAUGGCUGUUCGCCAUUUAAAGUGGUACGCGAGCUGGGUUUAGAACGUCGUGAGACAGUUCGGUCCCUAUCUGCCGUGGGCGCUGGAGAAUUGAGGGGGGCUGCUCCUAGUACGAGAGGACCGGAGUGGACGCAUCACUGGUGUUCGGGUUGUCAUGCCAAUGGCAUUGCCCGGUAGCUAAAUGCGGAAGAGAUAAGUGCUGAAAGCAUCUAAGCACGAAACUUGCCCCGAGAUGAGUUCUCCCUGACUCCUUGAGAGUCCUGAAGGAACGUUAAAGACGAUGACGUUGAUAGGUCGGGUGUGUAAGUGUAGCG
rnacentral:rRNA from 1 species